AACUAACGCUGGCGGCGUGCCUAACACAUGCAAGUCGUACGAGAAAGUUGGCUUCGGCCGAUGAGUAAAGUGGCGCACGGGUGAGUAAUGCGUGGAUAAUCUGCCCUUUAGUUGGGAAUAACGUACCCGAAAAGGUGCGCUAAUACCUGAUAAUACUGCAUAACUACUGUUGUGUAGUCAAAGAAGGCCUCUGUUUACAAGCUUUUGCUGAAGGAUGAGUCCGCGUACCAUUAGCUGGUUGGUGGGGUAAUGGCCUACCAAGGCUACGAUGGUUAGCUGGUCUGAGAGGAUGAUCAGCCACACUGGAACUGAGACACGGUCCAGACUCCUACGGGAGGCAGCAGUGAGGAAUAUUGGUCAAUGGGCGCAAGCCUGAACCAGCCAUCCCGCGUGAAGGAAGAAGGCGCUAUGCGUCGUAAACUUCUUUUCCAGGGGGAGAAUUUUCCGGUCGUGACCGGAAUUGACGGUACUCUGGGAAUAAGCAUCGGCUAACUCCGUG
rnacentral:rRNA from 1 species